rnacentral:rRNA from 1 species
GACGAACGCUGGCGGCGUGCCUAAUACAUGCAAGUAGAACGCUGAAAAUUGGUGCUUGAACCGAGCGGAUGAGUUGCGAACGGGUGAGUAACGAGUAGGUAACCUGCCUGGUAGCGGGGGAUAACUAUUGGAAACGAUAGCUAAUACCGCAUAAGAGUAGAUGUUGCAUGACAUUUGCUUAAAAGGUGCAAUUGCACCACUACCAGAUGGACCUGCGUUGUAUUAGCUAGUUGGUGGGGUAACGGCUCACCAAGGCGACGAUACAUAGCCGACCUGAGAGGUGGUGCGGCCACACUUGGACUGAGACACGGCCCAGACUCCUACGGGAGGCAGCAGUAGGGAAUCUUCGGCAAUAGAUGGAAGGCUGACCGAGCAACGCCGCGUGAGUGAAGAAGGUUUUCGGAUCGUAAAGCUCUGUUGUAAGAGAAGAACGAGUGUGAGAGUGGAAAGUUCACACUGUGACGGUAUCUUACCAGAAAGGGACGGCUAACUACGUG